rnacentral:misc_RNA from 1 species
GUGAAUCAUCAAAUUUUUGAACGCAAAUUGCACUCUCUUCGGAGAGUAUGCCUGUUUGAGGGUCAGCCUAAAAAAAUUCAAGGUAUUGGUUGUUUGGCGUUGACUUUCGUCGGAAAUUGGGUCACUUUAAACCUUUGGGUUUUUUAAGGGGCUUAAAAUUUUCUUUACGAUUCCACGAACGUUUCAAGGAUUUUAUUUCUUACACAGGUUUAAGGUAUCGUU